GUGCUUGCUUCGCAACACGUACAUGAGACUUGGAAUGAUACAGGGAUGGGUGUGGCCCCUGCGGAAGGAUGACAUGAAAAUUUGCAAAGUGCUCCAUAUUUUU